rnacentral:rRNA from 1 species
GGUGAACGCUGGCGGCGUGCUUAAGACAUGCAAGUCGAACGCGGUCUUCGGACCGAGUGGCGCACGGGUGAGUAACACGUAACUGACCUACCCAGAAGUCAUGAAUAACUGGCCGAAAGGUCAGCUAAUACGUGAUGUGGUGAUUUGCCGUGGCAAAUCACUAAAGAUUUAUCGCGUCUGGAUGGGGUUGCGUUCCAUCAGCUGGUUGGUGGGGUACAGGCCUACCAAGGCGACGACGGAGAGACGUCCUGAGAGGGUGGCCGGCCACAGGGGCACUGAGACACGGGUCCCACUCGAACGGGAGGCAGCAGUUAGGAAGCUUCCACAAUGGGCGCAAGCCUGAUGGAGCGACGCCGCGUGAGGGAUGAAGGUUUUCGGAUCGUAAACCUCUGAAUCUGGGACGAAAGAGCCUUCGGGCAGAUGACGGUACCAGAGUAAUAGCACCGGCUAACUCCGUGCCAGCCGCCGCAGUAAUAC